rnacentral:rRNA from 1 species
UACGUAGGGUGCAAGCGUUGUCCGGAAUUAUUGGGCGUAAAGAGCUCGUAGGCGGUCUGUCGCGUCUGCUGUGAAAAUCCAGGGCUCAACCCUGGACCUGCAGUGGGUACGGGCAGACUAGAGUGCGGUAGGGGAGAUCGGAAUUCCUGGUGUAGCGGUGAAAUGCGCAGAUAUCAGGAGGAACACCGGUGGCGAAGGCGGCCCUCUGGACGGUGACUGACGCUGAGACGCGAAAGCGUGGGGAGCAAACAGG